rnacentral:siRNA from 1 species
UGAGUCUGUACCUCCCUAAGC